GUGCCAGCCGCCGCGGUAAUACGGAGGGUGCAAGCGUUAUUCGGAAUCACUGGGCGUAAAGCGCGCGUAGGCGGCCAUGCAAGUCAGAUGUGAAAGCCCUCGGCUCAACCGAGGAAUAGCAUUUGAAACUGCGUGGCUAGAGUUCGGGAGAGGGUGGCGGAAUUCCAGGUGUAGGGGUGAAAUCCGUAGAUAUCUCGAGGAACACCAGAGGCGAAGGCGGGCACCUGGACCGAAACUGACGCUGAGGUACGAAAGCGUGGGUAGCAAACAGGAUUAGAUACCCGUGUAGUCC
rnacentral:rRNA from 1 species